rnacentral:rRNA from 1 species
ACCGAGCACGCCGCGUGAGCGAUGAAGGCCUUCGGGUCGUAAAGCUCUGUUGUCAGAGAAGAACAAGUACCGGAGUAACUGCCGGUACCUUGACGGUACCUGACCAGAAAGCCACGGCUAACUACGUGCCAGCAGCCGCGGUAAUACGUAGGUGGCAAGCGUUAUCCGGAAUUAUUGGGCGUAAAGCGCGCGCAGGCGGUUCUUUAAGUCUGAUGUGAAAGCCCACGGCUCAACCGUGGAGGGUCAUUGGAAACUGGGGAACUUGAGUGCAGGAGAGAAAAGUGGAAUUCCACGUGUAGCGGUGAAAUGCGUAGAGAUGUGGAGGAACACCAGUGGCGAAGGCGGCUUUUUGGCCUGUAACUGACGCUGAGGCGCGAAAGCGUGGGGAGCAAACAGGAUUAGAUACCCUGGUAGUCCACGCCGUAAACGAUGAGUGCUAGGUGUUGGGGGGUUCCACCCUCAGUGCUGACGUUAACACAUUAGGCACUCCGCCUGGGGAGUACGGCCGCAAGGCUGAAACUCAAAGGAAUUGACGGGGGCCCGCACAAGCAGUGGAGCAUGUGGUUUAAUUCGAAGCAACGCGAAUAACCUUAGCGGGUCUUGACAUCCUCUGACCACUUGAGAGAUCAAGCUUUCCCCUUCGGGGGACAGAGUGACAGGUGGUGCAUGGUUGUCGUCAGCUCGUGUCGUGAGAUGUUGGGUUAACUCCCGCAACGAGCGCAACCCUUGACCUUAGUUGUCAGCAUUAAGUUGGGCACUCUACGGUGACUGCCGGUGACAAACCGGAGGAUGUGUGUCUCAUGACGUCAAAUCAUCAUGCCUCUUAUGACCUGCCGCUGGACGCGUGCUGCGAUGGGUGAUACAAACAGAUUGCAAAGGCCGCGCACGCUGCAUCAAAUCCCAAAAAGUCUCGACUAAGUUCGACUGCUACGCUAGCUACUCGCCUAGCUGGAAGCGUGAAUUUGCUAGUGACUCGUCUGGAUCAGGAU